rfam:Streptococcus pyogenes M1 GAS, complete genome.
AUAAUUAACUAAACUUAAUUAAAUAAAUAAUAUAUCCUAAGGAGAGAAAUGAUGGGAAAGAGAAUGAGCCUCAUUUUGGGUGCUUUUUUAUCUGUU